GGCUGCUGGCUCAGCAGGGGGCUCGCAUGCACUUCUUAAAGCCAGUGUGCACCUCUUAAAGGGGAGAUACAUUCUGGCUGCAGUAAAUGUUAAAAGAGGCUAGGAAAUACUUAGGAGCAGAAAAAAACAAGGAGCAAUGGCACAGCAGGCCAGAGAUAGGACUCCUCGGCUCUCAGAAGCAGCAUUGGAGAUAUGAGCAAGGAGGUUGAAGGGACGAGAAAGGUGCUGUAUCUGCAGCGGUCCAGGAGGCCCUUAACACAGACAAUGCGAAGGUAGUGGGAGCAUAUAGUUAUGGACGCCAGUUCAAGAGUCUGGCCCUGAAGACUUGAAUGCGGUGCUGGAAGAAGUUAAAUGACCUCACAGGAGUGGUUAAGGUUAGUGAAUGCAUCUCCAAAUUCCAAAUCCCAGAAACUGCAUUAUCAACCUUGCACAGUGCUCAAUGCAGCACACACCCAUCAUUUGCCCACCAACAACCUUUAGCAAUGAGGACUCAUGCCUAACAUUCAUACUCUCCACCUCACUCUCUCAUACCUACCAUUGCUGUAAGCCUCACAUCUACAUCUCCCAGUUUCCACAUACUGCCAGCUAUUCAGCUGUGAUAGACACAUCACCCUAAUACAUUGCAAUGUACUUGUGGACUCUUUUCCUCUCCUGCAGGACAAGGUGCCCCAUAAACAGGAGGGAGCGUUAACGAACCAGCAGCGAACAGCACGGCUGCAUCUCCUCACACCCUUGGAGGAGAUGGUGCUUGGCAUUAUUGGCGUGGCCAUCACUUAGGCUGUGGCAAGUGGCAUUGCUGAAACCAUCCAGGUCAAUGAAACUCGAACUGCCACCUGAAACACUAAUGAUCCUUGAGGAUGAAGACCUAGUGGAAGAGCAGAUCUCUGAGGAAGCAGUACCACCAUGUAUCUGACACUCUCGGCUAUCAGCUCAAAUACUGUUGCUGUGUAUAUGUUAGAGGGUCAUGAAUCAGCACCUGUGAGUUCCUGAUCUCAACCAAGUCCUGGAGGGAAGGUAAUGAGUUGCAGUUGGAUUUCGAUGGGGGCUGGAGCCUGGGGCAAUCAGGUGCACAGUUGGACACAAUAUGUUGGAAAUGAAAUUUAG